UACAGAGGGUGCGAGCGUUAAUCGGAAUUACUGGGCGUAAAGCGCACGUAGGUGGCGACGUAAGUCGGGUGUGAAAGCCCCGGGCUCAACCUGGGAAUUGCAUUCGAGACUGCAUUGCUGGAGUACGGAAGAGGAGGGCGGAAUUCCCGGUGUAGCGGUGAAAUGCGUAGAUAUCGGGAGGAACAUCAGUGGCGAAGGCGGCCCUCUGGUCCAGUACUGACACUCAAGUGCGAAAGCGUGGGGAGCAAAC
rnacentral:rRNA from 1 species